AUACGGAGGGUGCAAGCGUUGUUCGGAAUUAUUGGGCGUAAAGCGCAUGUAGGCGGCUUGGUAAGUCAGGUGUGGAAGCCCUUAGCUCAACUAAGGAAAGUCAUCUGAAACUGCCAGGCUUGAGUACGGGAGAGGAGAGUGGAAUUCCCGGUGUAGAGGUGAAAUUCGUAGAUAUCGGGAGGAACACCCGUGGCGAAGGCGACUCUCUGGACCGAUACUGACGCUGAGACGCGAAAGCGUGGGGAGCAAACGGGAUUAGAAACCCCAGUAGUCC
rnacentral:rRNA from 1 species